GCAUAACUAACCUGCCGCUGCGUCACUAGAUCUAUAGAAGAAAUCUCAUUUGGAACAUGUGAUGGCAAACGAUGUGAAAAAGGCUGUUAUGUUGUAUUCUCUCAAAUAACAGCAAAAGGCUACAUAAAUGACACGGGGAUUGAUGGAGAUUGCCCUGUUUACAACAAAGCGGCAUUCAGUUGGCAAGCCUGUACAAGGUCAGACUCUAUCAAGACAUUGUGUAGCACCAGCAUAGCAACAGAUACAUAUGCAUUAGCAGUAAUAGAGGACACGCCGACAGACACGUGGAUCAAAGGGAAUGCGGUUUGUUUGAACGCCUUCUGGUAUCCAGCGACCAUCGUAAGUGUGAACAAUACCCAAUUAGAAACUAAUGAUCAACAGCAAUACUACUGGACGGGAAUUAUCAGAGCAAACUCCUUGCUCAGAGGCCACUCCAUUGGCAGCGACUACCAUAGUGAUGUUUCAUACGGAUUCUUGGAUCGAAACACCGGGUAAUUAAAUUUCACAAGCAAUGGAAUCAAAUUAGCUCUAUGUGGAUCAGGUAAUAUGCGGAUAAAAUGAAUCAGAAUCUAGGCUUAUAGCUUGUUGAUCUGUGUUUGCAAUAUAUUUAAAUCAACGACAUUGUUUGUCGAUUGUAAUAAAAUACAUAUAACUAGGUUUGAUUUAGAUAUGUGUAUAUAUAAUGUUUUGAAAAUGACGUAUUGUUUUAUGUUUAAAUAUGUACGUUAAUAUGAUAUCUGAAAUUGAUUAGUUAAGACGAUUUUUAUUUGAAUAUGCACAUACCUAUCGAUACAGUAAAUGAACCUAGAAUCAACAUAAAAAUCAUAUGUACCCUUUUUAAAAGAAGGUUCAACAGACGAUACAACAUGAACUGAAAGUCAUACGACUAUUAGAGGUGUCACAAAAUCUUCUGAAAGUCAAACGACCAUAAGAGACGUCACACAAUCAACAGAAGGACACGUUAUUAUAGAUGAUAAAAAUGGGACAACAGUUCAAUCUGGAGAUGUGCUGGCAAUAGGAAUAAGUAUUGGAGUGACUUUGGCAGUCUUGGUUGUCGUUGUUGCUGUCAUCAUUGUUGUCAGACGAAGAAAAAGAAUAAUACAAUUAACGGACCACAAAAUCCCUGUGAUGAGGAGUGCUUACAGUGACUGCAAAGCAAUCUGUGGAGUAACUGUCGAAAACGCUGUUCCCGACAAUAACUUUCACGUUAAGGAGAAACUAAGCCUCUUAGAGAACGAACAUCUCGAACAUAAGAGUACAGCAAAUGAUCCAAAUGUAGCCAUUGUAGAUACAGACAUUAACCAUACCAUCAAUGAUGCAGUAGAACAACGAGGAAACGUCAAAGUCGACACCAAUGAUUACGAUUACACAACGACUAAGGUAGUAAAAACUGAGAGGGAUCAGGAUAAAGUUUAUAACAAACUGAAAUUCGAACGUCAUUGUGAUUAUACCCAUGUAAAAAGUCAUUGUCAGGUGCAUGACCUACCAAAAAUCAAUCCCUAUGACACGGCUUCAGUAAGCUACAAAGCGAAUGCAACACUAGCAAGCGUAAAUGAUGAUUACGACCAUGUCGAAGGUAAGGGACGUAUUCAUAUCGCAGCAACAAUCAACGGCUGCUUCAUGACUUCCUCUGCAAUGACUGUCAGAGCUGGAUCUGCAUCGGUAAAAGAUGACGAAGGUGAAUACAAUCACUUUUCCAAUCAACCUGGCCCUACCCAUAAAGAAAGUGAAGAUGUUACCGCUUGAAGAAAAAUAAAGGGGUUUAACGCUGUAAGCGUGAUAUAAGAUAUUAUUCCUUAAUUCGCAUUGACCAUGUUUUAUGUCAGUGUGUAAUCCUCCUAAUGUGACAUUUCAUAUAAUUGUUUUUUUAACAUUAAUAUGCUAUAUAUAUGUAUGAUAAAUUAAAACAACGGUAGCAAAAACACGCGUGUUCUCAAAGCAAAACACGAUAAGCCUCGGCGGCAUCAUGGCACAUGGAAAAUUAAACUUUAUAUAAGGUUGAUCUCUGAAGCUUUGAAAUCUAUGAGGAGAUGUUGUUGAUCAUUGUAUACAUUUAUUUAAGUUAAUCAGUUAAAAUUAAACUUUUACAAGUCUAAUGUUCCAGUUUGCAAACAACCAUUGAGUAGUAUAACGGCAAUACCAGUACAUUUUCUUUAUUUAAAAUCGAAAUCAUUUACAUUAACUGUUUUAUCAGUAAAUGACUUAAUAAAAUAUACUGUUAAACGCUUGCUAUAAUAGGUUUAAAACACAUUGCUUUGCAUAUUUCAUUACCAGGCAUUGAUGAUAGUUGUUUUGUUUUGUAUAUGUAUGUCAUGUCUAGUCCGUUUGUCUGUGUCAAACUGGCCCUUUGCUAUAAUUAAGGGAUCAGCUUCUAUUAUUUAGGCUCUCUCCUGAUGGAGCAGUUUUAUUAUGCUAAUAUAAAUGGAUUCACAUUUAUGGAAUACAUGUUUGUUGGUAAAAGUUUUUUUCCUACAUGUGGUGCCAUUUUAUAAAAAAGAAAGCAAAGUUGUUAUAUCCUUAAUAUCAUUUUAUCUGCAUUGAUUUAAAUGUGAAUGUAAAUGCUUGUAAAUAUUGUUGAGUGUUAAUAAACAAUAUUUGUUUAA